AAGGGCUUUACUCAUGCCGCUGAGUCUGACCUCAGGUCUUCCAGGAGCUUAGAUCCUGCUGCACAGAACAUGAAAGAUGGACCCGUCAAGGAGAAGAGAGGAAUCUUCUGGGGAGUAUGGGGGAGCAGAGCAUGUGACCCCUGUGCAGCUGCUUCCUCUUAGAGUUUUCACCCAUGAAUCACACAUUCAACUUCCCGGAAGACGCAGGACGGCCCGACCUACAGAGCAGUAUGGGUACUGUCCAUGCUCAAGACCCUUGGGAUCUAAAGCUGUCACUUGGCAUCAACACUGGCAAAGCAAGAUGGUGCAUGGAGAUGCAGUCAUGAUACACAUGAUCUGACCUGGGUCAUAUCUGUCCUUCUGUCCAUCCAUCCAUCCAUCUGCCCACCACAGAAGAUUGUGUAGCAGACACACCAGGAAUGUGAGAAGGUCAUUUUCUUGAGGAUGGUAAUUCUGUUGACCUCCUGCAACACAAUGAACCACACUCACCAUUCAAUCAAAUUACUAUAUAAAUAAGAGAAUGAAAUACAUUGGUUAAAUACAUCCAAGCAGAAUGUAAGUAAACUCAUAAUAAAGAAAUAUGUAAAAUUA
rnacentral:lncRNA from 1 species